rnacentral:rRNA from 1 species
AGUGAACGCUGGCGGCAGGCCUAAUACAUGCAAGUCGAACGGCAGCACAGCAGAGCUUGCUCUGUGGGUGGCGAGUGGCGGACGGGUGAGGAAUACAUGGGAAUCUGCCCAGUCGUGGGGGAUAACGUAUGGAAACGUACGCUAAUACCGCAUGCGCCCUAAGGGGGAAAGCCGGGACCGCAAGGCCUGGCGCGAUUGGAUGAGCCCAUGUUCGAUUAGCUAGUUGGCGGGGUAAAGGCCCACCAAGGCGACGAUCGAUAGCUGGUCUGAGAGGAUGAUCAGCCACACUGGAACUGAGACACGGUCCAGACUCCUACGGGAGGCAGCAGUAGGGAAUAUUGGAUAAUGGGGGCAACCCUGAUCCAGCCAUGCCGCGUGAGUGAAGAAGGCCCUCGGGUUGUAAAGCUCUUUUGUCCGGAAAGAAAAGCAAUCGGUUAAUACCCGGUUGUUCUGACGGUACCGGAAGAAUAAGCACCGGCUAACUUCGUGCC